CGCGCACCACCAGAUCAGAUCAGGAUGCCCAGGAUCGCAUCCAGCCUGGCCUCACAUGACUCCAGAGAUGGGGCAUCCAGAACCCCUCUGGGCAGGAUCUUGCUGUUCCAGUGCCCCGCCACUUGCUGAGCAAAGAAUCUCUUCCUAACGCCUAACCUCUCUCUAUCCUCUUUUAGUUUAAAGCCAGUCCCCCUUGUCCUAUCACUAUCG
rnacentral:lncRNA from 1 species